GACGAACGCUGGCGGCGUGCUUAACACAUGCAAGUCGAACGGAAAGGCCCUGCUUUUGUGGGGUGCUCGAGUGGCGAACGGGUGAGUAACACGUGAGUAACCUGCCCUUGACUUUGGGAUAACUUCAGGAAACUGGGGCUAAUACCGGAUAGGAGCUCCUGCUGCAUGGUGGGGGUUGGAAAGUUUCGGCGGUUGGGGAUGGACUCGCGGCUUAUCAGCUUGUUGGUGGGGUAGUGGCUUACCAAGGCUUUGACGGGUAGCCGGCCUGAGAGGGUGACCGGCCACAUUGGGACUGAGAUACGGCCCAGACUCCUACGGGAGGAAGCAGUGGGGAAUAUUGCACAAUGGGCGGAAGCCUGAUGCAGCAACGCCGCGUGCGGGAUGACGGCCUUCGGGUUGUAAACCGCUUUCGCCUGUGACGAAGCGUGGGUGACGGUAAUGGGUAAAGAAGCACCGGCUAACUACGU
rnacentral:rRNA from 1 species